CUGUCCGUAACAGGUGUUCAGUAUGUCUCUGUAUCCUAACAGGUAGUGAAUGUAAGGUAACAGCUGGUCUGUCCUAACAGGUGUUCAGUAUGUCUCUGUAUCCUAACAGGUAGUGAGUGUAAGGUGACGGCUGGUGUACUCAACAUGAGUCUUAACUGUACCCUCCUCUGUCAGAGAUCUGUCACCUGACAUCAUCACCACCCAGGUCAGAGACUGGUCGUAAUGCUACUAUGCUCUGUCAUGUUGUCACGCUACGAUUCACUGACAUCUGAUGUUGUCCUUCCCUAAGAGGCACGCGU